GAAGACUGGAAAUUCUUCACAAACCCCACCGGUGGGGGUAUCCGAGACGGAUUUGUCAAGCUGAAGAUAAGUGCCUAAUCGUGUAACUCGAUUUUGCAACAUGAUGCAUCAUUCUGCAUCGUGCUGAAAAUGUUCUGUGAAUGACGACUAUCCCUGAGACUUUACUAACCUAUUCCCAGUUUAAGGUAGAGGUGGAUUAGGUUGUGCAUCGCCAUCAUGUUUCUGCAAAAAUUAGCUACAGGAGUCAGAAACUUUGGUUCUUGAUUACAGAAUUAAUAACGUCGCUGAUUAGCAUCAGAUGAGAGUCGGGGAAUGGCAUGAACACUGAGCAGGCGCUAGCUGAGCGUCGGAGUCAGACGCAGAACAGGUCAUGAGGGAAUACAAUCGAUAAAAGGGAAAAGGACAUCAGUUAAAGUCGAGUGUGCUGGUCAAAAGUAUUAGUAGCAUAUUAAAAGGGAAAAAAAAAAAACCAAAACUGGAGACAGGUCUUGUCAAUAAUAAUAUCCUAAUAUCACUAUAUAUUUGAUUCUGAAGUACAAGGCAAACAUUCCUACUACACCAAAUAAUUGAAAAAGUAAAAAA